ACAAAGAUUCUCUCUCUCUCUCUCUCUCUCUCUCUCUCUCUCUCUCUCUCUCUCUCCCUCUCUCUUUUAAAAAGAGACACCUAUUCAAAAGAUAAUAUUCUAAAAUAUAAAAAUAUUUUGAGACUUUCAGAAAGAGAUUGAGGGUUCUUUUUAUUUUUUUUUUUUAAGAGAGAGUGAGAGAGUGAGCGAGAGAAAGAGAGAGAGAGAAUUUUUCA
rnacentral:miRNA from 1 species